rnacentral:lncRNA from 1 species
AUGAGCACCUCAUCACCUGCUCCAUCAGACGAUAGAUUGUUGGAAGAUGCUCCUCUUGAUUUCCGAGAAGUGUGCAGUGUCAUUGCUCCACCGGGAUAUCUACCAACUAUCAUUAGACGAAAGCUAGAGAAAUCAGCACCUGUAGUGCCACCCCCUGUAGCGGCCUCCCCCUCCGUUGCAUUGCCACCUGCUAUGGUGCCACAUGCUAUCGCAGUGUCAACUGUGAACAACGUAGAUUUUGGCAACCCCGUCCUCCUGCCGAGCAACUGUAAACCUGUAUCGUUGUCCGUGCCAGUGAUGAGUCUAUUACCCCAAGCACCACCCAAGCCAAAAGAAGCAGAUACUUAUAAUGCAGGGCCUUCUGGUGUGCAUCCCAUUAAAAUACGCCCCAAGAAGGUCAAAAAGUCGCCCAAGAAAAAACGUCCAUAUCCAGAUUUGAGUCGUUGGAAUAAAACUCCGCGGCCCCGCUUAGGAGUAGAUGAUCCGAUUCUUCCUAGACUGAAACCAAAGCCAAAGGCAGAAGCGAGUUCAUCUGAACAAAAUUCCAACCCAAAUAUUUACACAGCGCUCCCAUCAGCUGACGCCAACUCCACGCAGGCAAGCUCUGUGAAUUCAUCUCAAUCACAGACAAGUCUGCUUCAUCAAGCAGCAUCGGCAACCUCUGAAGGUAAACCUGGAAGCAUCAUCAAGCACGUCUUAGUGAAUGAGCCAGAUGCUAAUCAAGAAUCUGUGGUACAAGGAUUCUUCCUAAAUUCCUUGGAAAAGAAUCUUGUGCUGGUCUCGGACUCCAAGCAAACAGCGGCUACAUCCACCUCAAGCAAUCAGCCAGUGGGCACAUUUAUAAUCCAGAAUACCGCUCUGCACUCGUCUCUUCAGAAUGGCAAUGCGAAUGGGAAAGAAACUCCGGUUCAAAGUCUGCUCAACAGUCAGAGCCUUCUCAAUAGUUCAGCAAACUCGCCCAAUAUGACUAAUUUUGCAAUCGCCACAAGUGCAGUGAAGAGCAAGCAGGAGACACCACCUUCAAAUUCACCGAAUACGCUGCCAAAGAACAAAGGCAAUUCAAAUUCGAUUCGGUUACCUGUUGGAGGUUUGCAAGGAAAAAUCCUGCAAUGCACUUCAACUGCCGUAUCAAUCAAUAGUACAACGUGUAGCCCGAAACAACUGGCAAUCCCCAAAUCAGUUGUGUCCUCUCCAAACGUUCUUUUGUCUCUCGCGUCGCAGAAACAAUGCUCUUCCUCAGGUUUAUUUCAAAAUCCGAAUAUUAUCAGGCUCGCAGUCAAAAAUGGGAAACUUUGCCCCGAUGUGAGCAUGCCAGUUCCACCACCCGUCAACACCUCUCCACAAGUCUCUGCUGCCGAGGCUCCUAAACCUCCGCUGAAACCAAUCCAGUCACAGCAGCAAGCGGUAACACUUUCAACCCCAAAAUCACAGAUGAAUUUAUCAUUGAUAUCUGCAAUCGUUCCCCUCAACGACCCCAAAAUCAAAUCUGUACUCAAAGGCAAUGUUCUCUCGUCUCUGCUUCAUAAAGGCGAAACUGACCAAGAGAAACCAAUGGAGAACUCAUCCGAAAUACCACAUGAAAAUCCGUUUUUGUCUCUUCCGACUUCAACCGACAUCAGUGCAGCAGAUGCAGCGGUACUGUUAAAUUCAACAAACGUAGGCUCUUCACCGUCUACAGAAUCGGAAUCUACCUCGCAAAUACUCGCAGGUCCUCCUUCCAAGCCCUCCAAACCAGCAACCGGCGCUCCACCUGGGCUGUACCCGUUAGCUAUGAUGUCCUCAGAUACCACAACUACCUCUGCAAUAAUGUCUGCAAUUUCCUCAUCCUCUGUUCCCCUACUCCACAUUCCAGAGACCAUCCCAUCGCAGAAUGCCCACGCACCAUCUGCCGGGAAACCUAACGGGUCCCUCCUAGUCAUACCGGGCAUCGUUCCGUCGAGUCUCCCGUCCCUCUACUUACAUCCUAGCGGUGCUUACGUUACCUCACUCUCCUCCUUAACGUCAAAUGUUACGACUGAGUCGGGCGCUGUUAAUGAUGUGAGAGUCCCUUCAGAAAUUUUGGAGGCGAUUGCAUCCCUGUCUUCCAUUCCAGUGCCCGUGCCAGAAGUACCUCACAGCGCUAACUUGGAAAGUGUUUACAAAAAACUGCAGGAUGCAGCUGCUGUAUCGGCGUCUUUUCCAGCUUCAGCUCCUAACAGAGUAGAAUCCUUUUCUCUGCCUAAUUCAAAAGCUGAGUCUAAACAGAUGGUAUCGAGUCAUGGCAAAGAAUCCGAAAAGGAAGCUUACAGCAAUAAUUCCAAAGAAAAUCUCGUCAUUUCAGAGACUGAUAAUAAGAACAAAGAUACAGACAAUAUUCCAGACAUUCCUUUGGAUACAACGAAGAAACUACUUAAUUGGAAUGACAUCGGCGUUGGACCUUUAGCAGGCAGCUCAAUUAAGUUCCGGAUGAAUGAAUUUGGAAUGAUGGAAAUCGAUGAUAACUUCGACAAAAAGUCUGACACUGGCAGUGACUCAGUUUCGCUCAAAGACGGAAGCCUAGACGACGUGAGCACUAACAAAGAAAACUUCAACGACUUUCUUUUAUGCAAAGAGAAGGUUGUAGAAGAAAGUGUCUACUCCAAAGAAAACAGGAAUACCAACGGCUCUUCAAAGAGGAAUAAGCGUAAAGAAGGAAGGCGGGCUAUUCGAGUUGAUGAGUCUGAUGGCGACAUCGAAACUAAGCAAACUAAGCUUGAUGAAAAGCACCACUCCAACAAGAAGGCGAAAUUAGAAUCUGGUGAGAGUAGAAAGAGCGCCCUCAAGAACAAAGAUGGUGAGUUUACAUUUUAUUCCAUUUAACACAAGUUUGGGGUUUUUUUCCUCUAUCACUUUUGUAGAAAUUCUUUUCCUACCUAUUAGUGCUCUAAAUGUGGUGUCUGUCACUGUGGAAUCCAUGUGCUAUGUCACAGGUUUUCGUUGAGAUGAGAAACGUCUGUUUAACGUUGCAAUCCUGAUGAGCCUUUUCUCAGUAAGGAAUACACAUUGUUGCAGCUUGAAAAAAAAACUGUUUUUUCAGUCUUUGAGAAAAAAAUCGAUUUGAUAUUUUCAAAAAAAAUCGAGGAGCUAAGAGGAAAAAGGUCAAUUCCUUAUUUGACCAUUUUUCAGGCGAACGGAUUCUUUGAAACUAG